CCCUCUUUGCACGGAACAGCCAUAGAAACCUUUUUAUUUCGUUUUCAAUGUACUUCCAAAUUUCUUACAUAAUUUAGUAUUUUAAAAAAGGAGUUUCUCUAAAAUUAAUUUUUGAAUACACAAAAGCAUAUAUAUAUAUAUAUAAACCCAAAAAUAGUGUUAAUUUAAUUUUUCAUGCAUAUUUUAAUAUAAAUUUGUUAGGAUUAUUUUAUAAAUUUGAAGUAAAAUAUUUGCGUUUUUAUUGUGACAAGAAAUAAAACGAGCUAGAAACGCCGAAAAAAAAAAAAAAAAAACGUUUCUUUACCUCCCAAAUAGUCGUUGGUCGUUAAGUCGUUGAGAACUAGGCGUGCGAAGUGGAGGAGAGAGCGAGACGUUAGAUGUUUCGUCCAAGAAGACGUGGUUCGUUUGGAUGGUUUUCAACUUUUCUUGCUCCUUUUCAUAGUCUUUUUCUGUCAAAAGGCUUACACAACAGCUUGGCCUUGGUAGAAGACACUUGCACUGAUUUGUUGCGUGGAUAUGCCCAAACCUCUAAUUUACCCCAUGGAAGAGCAAUCCAUGCUAAAUUCCUUAAAGGGUCGCUUCCAUUUUCCCCUUUCCUCCAUAAUCAUUUACUUAAUAUGUAUUUAAAAUGUGGGGAUAUUUUUGAUGGGGUCCAACUGUUCGAAGAAAUGCCUAGCAAGAAUGUUGUAUCUUGGUCUGCUGUUAUUACGGGUUUUGUUCAUUAUGGGUAUCCUAAAGAUGCCCUUUCUCUCUUCUGUGGGAUGCUUCGCGAUGGGACGGUGAAACCGAAUGAAUUCACGCUCGUCGGUGCACUUCAUGCCAUUUCGUUGAAUGAGAAUAUGUCUCAAGCUUGUUACCAGAUUUAUGCACUUGUUGUUCGGUUGGGAUUUGAGUGGAAUACAUUCUUGACGAACUCGUUUUUGACUGCUCUGACAAGGCAUGGUAAGUUGGAAGAGGCUUUGGAAGUUUUUGAGAAGUGUUUGGAUAAGAAUAUUGUGUCUUGGAAUGCUAUGAUUGCUGCCUAUGUUCAGUUUUCAUUUUCGGAACUUCCUAGAUUCUGGUACCGGAUGAACCAUGAGGGUGUGUGUCCUGACCACUUUACAUUUUCUAGCGUUCUCACUGGGUUGGCUGCUCUUUCUGAUCUUAAGAUGGGUCUGCAAGUUCAUGGGAAGCUUGUAAAGUAUGGCCUUGGGGCUGAGACUAUCAUAGGGAAUUCUUUGGUGGAUAUGUAUAUUAAGAAUCAGAAGUUGGUUGAUGGUUUCAAAGCUUUUUAUGAGAUGCCAUCAAGAGAUGUGUGCUCUUGGACCGAAAUGGCUGCUGGCUGCCUUCAAUGUGGGGAACCAAGCAGAGCGCUUGAUGUAGUUGCUCAAAUGAGGAAAAUGGGUGUACUGCCCAACAAAUUUACCUUUGCAACUGCCCUGAACGCCUGUGCUAAUUUGGCUUCUUUGGAAGAAGGGAAGAAAAUUCAUGGUUUGAGAAUUAAACUUGGAACAGAAAUUGAUGUCUGUGUUGAUAAUGCACUGGUAGAUAUGUAUGCAAAAUGUGGAUGCAUGAAUGAUGCAUGGGAUGCUUUUCGAUCAAUGAAUUAUCGUUCUGUCAUCUCUUGGACAACGAUGAUCACGGGUUGUGCACAGAAUGGCCAAGCUAGAGAAGCUCUUGAGAUUUUUGAGAAGAUGAGGAUGGAAGGAGUUGAACCAAAUGACAUCACCUUGAUUUGUGUACUUUAUGCUUGUAGCCAAGGAGGGUUUAUUGAUGAAGGAUGGAAAUAUUUCUCUUCCAUGACUCGUGACCAUGGAAUAUGUCCUGGAGAAGAUCAUUAUGCAUGUAUGGUAAAUCUUCUAGGUCGAGCUGGACAUACAAAAGAAGCAGAGGAAUUAAUCCUGAAAAUGCCUUUUCAACCAGGUGUGCUGGUUUGGCAAACUUUACUUGGUGCUUGUCAGGUUCAUGGGGAUACAGAAACUGGGAAACGUGCAGCAGAGCAUGCAUUAGAACUAGAUAGAAAAGACCCAUCAACAUAUGUUUUGUUAUCAAAUAUGCAUGCUGGUAUUAGCAAUUGGGAUGGUGCAGGAAUGCUGAGAGAACUGAUGGAGAUUAGAGAUGUACAAAAAAUGCCAGGAUCCAGUUGGAUUGAAGUAGAAAAUAGUCGAUUGCUAUCUGCACUUGAAGGAUCUGCAUAAAUGAAGGGUGAUUGAGAAGGGUGAGGCAUUCUCUUCCUCAUCACUGCUGCUUUAUUCUUGGAAGUUUCUAAUUUGCCCCAAAGAUAGAAGGUGAGAAAGGCAUACUUGAAGUCCUACAGAGGAUUACAGAUUUUGGCGGUCCUGAUCACUUUACAAACUACUUAGAGCAGCAAAUAACAGAACGAAAUUGAAAAUUGAACGCAAAAUAAUGAAAUAGUAAAUGAAAGGUAGUUACUGGGAGAGAAAAUUGGGCAAGUGAAUGAAAGUGGACACAUCUCGAUGGAGCUCAACGAACACCAUAUUGGCAAACCAUCAAUUCCUUAUGCGAGGGAUGUGGGAAAUAUUGGGUCAAUCUUCUCCUAUCUGUCUCCGGCACCUUUGUGUCGACAAAGGACAGUAGUUGAUAUACAAUUGCGAAAGAGACGUGAGCAGCCCUUCUUCUGGCAAGCACUGCAGCUCAUCACAGCUAGAAAUCUCCAAUUGUUGAAAGGAAAAGAGGUGUCGAUAGGCAUUUCCGCUAACGGCUUUAAUGUGUGGAAAUGAUUUGAUUUUGAGCUUAAUGAGAGUGGUGGGCAGCAGCCGCUCCUCUGGAAAUGAAUCCAACACUACUACAUCAAUGCCGCUGAUGCAUAAACUUGUAAGAGAAGUGAGUCUUUGUAUAUCACAUUGUCUGCGGCUUGCAAACAAUUUAUUGCACUUGUCAAUACUAAGAUGAUUUAAAUUAGAGGGCUAUCUGCAUUCUGGAAAUGACUCCAGUUCUGGAAAAUUAGAUAUAGACAGGAUUCCAAGAGAGGGAAGAAGGGUCUGCAAUUUUUCUCUCUUGGUACUUCCCACAUAUCGCUAUUUAGUAUCUUCUCCCACUCAUUUGGAUUUAGUUGAUGAUGUAAGGAACUGCCAAGUGAUUUUACCACUAAAGGAAGACCUUUGCAUCUUUCUACAAUAUAUCUACCGAUUUCUUCUA